CAACCCCUAAGCACAGCUUGGUGUUGGGUGUUUGUCUCUUCCGGGAGACUCGCCUCAAAACAAUUGGCAGCCGGCAUAUUGGUAUCGGAGCGCAGCACAAGUCGCGCUUCUGUCCAUAUUUGUUGGCAUCCAGCAAGACCAUUUUUCAC
rnacentral:misc_RNA from 1 species